AUGGCGGGGCAGGCGGCGAGGCCGAACCCCUGCGCCGCGUUCCGCUCGGUCCCGCCGCCGCUGCCCGCGCGCCGCGCCGACGCCGCGACGAGGACCAAGGAUGCACCUUGUCCUACCUCUAAUGGCGAUAGAGGUCUUUCUGGGCAGUGCAAAAAGCCUCCAGAGCAUGCCAUGCAUAAGCCGUCUGGUGGUACAUAUACAAAACCUGAUGCAAGAGUGAAGUUGAUUCCGGCAGAAGACAUCACUUAUGUACGGCAUGGAAAGCCUUUUGGUAGAACAGUUGGCUCAGCAAAACUGCAGAAAAGACACUGCAGACGAAGUGUCACUCCUCCUCCGAGUUCGCGUAAAAUUUCUCUUGCGAGAUCAACACCACUUACUCACAAGUCUACGACACCGUUUACUCCCAAGGCCAUGCCACCGCUUAAUCACAAGGCUUCGGCGCCUCUUACCCACAAGGCCGCGACACCUCUUACUCACAAGCCCAUGACACCACCCCAUCCUGUUGCCUCGUGUCUUUCUCCUAAGAGAGUUGAGACAGCUCACAAGGCCUUGAGACCUCUUAGUCCCAAGCCCACUACACCACCCCUGCCUGUUGCAUCGUGUCUUUCUCCUAAGAGAGUUGAGACAGCUCACAGGGCCUUGGGACCUCUUAGUCCCAAGCCCACAACACCACCCCUGCCUGUUGCAUCGUGUCUUUCUCCUAAGAGAGUUGAGAAAGCUCACAAGGCCUCGAGACCUCUUAGUCCCAAGCCCACUACACCACCCCUGCCUGUUGCAUCUUNNNNNNNNNNNNNNNNNNNNNNNNNNNNNNNNNAGGCCUCGGGACCUCUUAGUCCCAAGCCCAGUACACCACCCCUGCCUGUUGCAUCGUGUCUCUCUCCUAAGAGAGUUGAGACAGCUCACAAGGCCUCGGGACCUCUUAGUCCCAAGCCCACUACACCACCCCUGCCUGUUGCAUCGUGUCUUUCUCCUAAGAGAGUUGAGACAGUUGAAAACAGGCAAUUUUUCUCUCUCAAUCGGCCAUCACCACUCUACAAGUCUGUCCAGAGAGGUGCAUUUCCUCCAUCUGUUUUGCGGAAAGAGUCAGAGAUGAAUCCCAUCAACCCUAGUUCUGUGCAUGUUCCUCCUGCAUAUUCAAGGAAGGUUCCUCUUACUACAAAGGCAGAACCACCUCCUAAGAGUGUCAUCACACUUGACAACAAAAAGUUAUGCUCUAUAAGCAAUCAGGCUGCACUUAAAUGUCAGCCCACAAAAAGAGACGCAGAUCCUAUUGUGGAAAAAGAAACUACUGUGAAGCUUCCAUUACUGAGCCCAACAUCUGUGCUUAGUUCAAGUUCCACCGAGGUAUGUCUAGAUACUGGAAGGUCUUCGUCCAGACUAAAUUUGUUUGAUGGAAAAUCCAAGCUGGACUCGCUGCAGCCUGAAACAAACAUACCUCAAGCAAAAAGCCCAGAGUCUACAAUUCCAACCCCAUGUGCUCAACUUUCCGAUGAUUUGAGAGUUGUUUCCUCCACUAAGAGCCAUGUCGAGAGACAAACGAACCAGGAACCAUCAAUUAGUCGUAACAUGUCUUCAGGUGCCCAAUUAAUUCUACAUACACCACUGUGCAAGGAGACAUACCAACCAGAGGCCUGCUGGAAGGGCAAAUUUGAAAUAACUGGAGAGCUAACACACACUUGUGAUGGACUUGAAGCCUAUUUCCCUUGUGAAAUUUCUAGCAAAGUUUAUGAAGCUUCAAAACAGAUGCCUGAAAUCUUGAAGCUAGAGGCUCUACCUCUUUCUGGCCUGUUACCAAAAAAAUUCAAGAUGGAACCACCUUGUGCUCAAGAUAUUGGACUGUGCUUCAUAAGUUCUUGUCAAAGGCCAAAUAGGGACUCUUACCAUCUCCUGGAAAAUGUUUCUUCACAUAUUGGCUUGCGGACUGACAUCGGCACCGUGGACUUGCUUAUAUUUUCGUCCAAGCUGCUUACGGAAGAUGAUCAAACGAAAGACGGAGAACUUUACCUUUUUGGAGUUUUCCAGAAGCAUACCAGAAAGAGGCAGCACCGAGUCGACAGUCAUACAGAUAUCAGCAAUGCUGGCCUUUCAAAGGGAGACUGUCAUAUAUCUGAGGAUAUUGGCAUGGACCUGGAUAUGAUAGGAGGCAAAUACACAAAAGGUAAAAAUCGUGAGAUUGGCAUGAAACUGGAUGCAACAGAGGUCAAAAAGGUGGAAACGAGCAAACCCAAGGAGGUUGAUGCAAAUGCUGUGCUCAGUAAUGCAGCUCCCGCUGUUUCUUUCUUCACUGGGUCUUGUAGUCCUGACUCCGCAGGGACUACAGAUUCUCUAUGCAAAUCUGCUAGGAGAGCUCCUGCUUGCGGAGACCUUGUUUUGGACCCACCUCCAGGAUUUCCUCUUGAUGUCCCUCCUGGCUUCACAAGAGCUCAUUGUGGGCUUCGUAGAGGAAAAACUGCAGAAUCACAUAUCGACUCUUCUCCCAGCCUUGCUUUCGACACUCCAGGACUGAGACUUGAUGCUCCUCCUGGAUUUACAAAAGCACAUGGUGGGUUACACACCAAUGACAGCAGCAUGCCUUCUCCUGGAUCAGAAAAUGGUGCUUCCACUCUUUUCUCUGAGAAAAAGUCCCCAAUCAAGUUCUCUCUCAACAUUACAAGGCCUCCUGGAUUUGCUAAAUUGGCUGAGGUGAAAAAAGAGCCUGGGUUACCAGCAUUCUUUAAGGCUACGGAGAAAACACCACCAAUUGGAAAAGCAAAUGAAAAGGAUAUCAAGCAUGAUAAGGUGAACGUGGAAGUGGAGUCGGAUGACAGCUCGGAGGAGCGAGAGUUUCCCAAGACCAAGAGGCUCUCAGAUAUCCUGGGUUCUUGUGCCUCUUCGUCUUGGAGGAACAACGCUACUACCUCAGCCGCACCUCGAAACUGCUCCGAAGUUUUCAGGCCUGCGACUGCGAGCAAGUUUGAGGAACAAAAGCAGCAGCAUCGGCAUUGCAGGAAGAGAGGGCAGCAGGAAGCAUCCAAAUCCGAUGCUGCUGUUGAGGCCACCAAAAGGCUCAAGGUCAACGGCCGCAUCGCACUGAACGGAUGUCCUGCCCUUAACUCCAACCAAGCGCAGCCCAAAACUCCACCAACAUAG
rnacentral:rRNA from 1 species